UGCCAAUGAUAAAUGUAGAACCACGUUCAG
rnacentral:piRNA from 1 species